AGUGAACGCUGGCGGUAGGCCUAACACAUGCAAGUCGAACGGCAGCACAGUAAGAGCUUGCUCUUACUGGUGGCGAGUGGCGGACGGGUGAGGAAUACAUCGGAAUCUACUUUUUCGUGGGGGAUAACGUAGGGAAACUUACGCUAAUACCGCAUACGACCUACGGGUUAAAGCAGGGGAUCUUCGGACCUUGCGCGAUUGAAUGAGCCGAUGUCGGAUUAGCUAGUUGGCGGGGUAAAGGCCCACCAAGGCGACGAUCCGUAGCUGGUCUGAGAGGAUGAUCAGCAGCACUGGAACUGAGACACGGUCCAGACUCCUACGGGAGGCAGCAGUGGGGAAUAUUGGACAAUGGGCGCAAGCCUGAUCCAGGCAUACCGCGUGGGUGAAGAAGGCCUUCGGGUUGUGAAGCCCUUUUGUUGGGAAAGAAAAGCAGCAGGUUAAUACCCAGCUGUUCUGACGGUACCCAAAGAAUAAGCACCGGCUAACUUCGUG
rnacentral:rRNA from 1 species